CCACCAUCGUCCGGCGUCGACAAGUACAACAUCCUCUCCCGCUUCACCUGCAACGCGUUCUACCUCGACUCCAAGUCCACCAUCGGCGUCGAGUUCGCCACCCGCACCCUCCUCGCGAGUACUCACCCCCGUUCCAUUAAUCGUUGUCAUUCCUUGCUUUGCUCGCCGCUAGAUCCGAUGUAUCAGUCUAGUGAUUCGCUGCCCAGAUAUCUUGCACUCCAGAUCUAGUGAUUCGCUGCUUGCAAACAAUAGCUAGUAAAUCGGUCACCAUGGGGACGGGGACAUGAGAUUCAGAGAAGAGAUGCUGCUGCCAGCCUAUACUAGUUCAUAUGUAUCCAGGUGCCUAGAUCUACCAUACUCACCUCAUUUCACUGUGCUACUAGUAGUUCCUAGGCCAUUAGCUCUUGCUUGCUUUUUUUGCUGCACAAUGAGCAUUCUCGGUGAACAUUGAGGCCUAGUUUGGCAACACCGCUUUUCAAAGACCAUGGUUUUCCAAAACUUCAGUAUUUCAAUAGAUGGGCAACAAGUACUUCAGUUUCUGAAAAACAUAGAUUUUCUCAGUUUUGAUAAAAUUGCUCAGGUGUUUGGCAAGUGGCAGUUUUUCUCUGUUUUCUUUGGUUUGUACAGAUUAUUACAUGUUGCAUGCAUGCUCAACAACACUCACGGAUCAGCUUGUGCUAAUGGCCACUGUAUGCAUGUAGCCUUGCACGGGCAUGUUCUCUCCUAGUAGAUGCCAGAAUCUGUAGCAGCAGUAGUAGUAGAGCUAUCUAUUGUAAUCAAUUAAAGACCGAGCUAGUUACCACAUGGACAGAGAGAGCGCCCAGCCAGCGUUUCUCAGUUUUUUAAAAAGAGUUCGGGACCACUUUUUUAUAUAUAACAAAAGACCAUAGUUUAAGAGAUACCACAGUUUGUUAAAUUGCAGUAUUUUUUCAUCCAAACAACUCAAAGUAUUGAAUACCAAGGUUUUCUUAGAAACCAUAGUAUUUUUUAAAACUACAAAAAUACUUUGGCUCCCAAACGCACACUGAAUCUCUUAAUUAGCGACAAUAUUAAGAUGACAUCCACCCAUUUCUUUAUUUUUGUGAAUGGACAGAGUGAUCUAUAUUUUUUCGUCAGUCCAUACAACACUUUUGACUAGUAAGAUUCAUUAUGUACAAUGUAGUGUGCCUAUUGGUUUUCAUGUUUAGGAAGAACCUAUGAUUUACCUUCAGAGAAACACAUAGUUUGUCCUAGGAGGCAAUGUGCAUGUUUUAUUUUCUUUGAGAAAUGUUCAUUCCAUGGAAGGGGGUGUAGGAGCACAAGCAUCCCAAUAUGCCCAUACAGGACAAAAAAGUUACUACAAUGUUAAAUAUUCAUUUUACUGCUAGUGUCCAUUUAGCAGUUUUUUACUAUGUUUCUACCAAGAUGAUUCAGCCAUUUGUUUGUUUUCCUGCAGCAAAGUGCGGCUGGACGAACGAGGCUGCUAUUCUGCCUUGAUCUGCACACAAAGAGUUCUUGGACCUGACCUGAAGCAAGGAUACCUGCGGCUGCAAGCCAACAAUGUCUGAAGACAGGCGCUGCUUGUCGAUGUUCUCCGCAUAACGAUAGGCUUCCAUCAGGCUCGUCCCUGGACCAGAUGUUCAAGUACAGCCCCAUCCACUGCAUCGACCUAGAGUCAACAUCACCAUCAAGUACGCCAUCAAAGUGAAUGGAGCUUGUGUUGUUGGUAGAACUCCAUUGAUGACUUCUUCCUAUGUUGAAGAGCAUGUUCCGUGGUAUCCAAGAGUAGAUAGAUUUACACUGGCAGAGCGUUUUAUUUGUCGAUCGCAAUGUUUGUGAUUGUGUGGAAUAUUGUAUGGUUAUCUACAUGAAGUUUGAAGUUCCUGGGCGUGCAAUAUUUGAUGGUCAAACAAGUUGUUGUGAUGUGAACGAGUGUAUGGAGUUUCACAUGUUUUGUUCUGUACAUAAUAUAUUGUAAUAAACCUAUUUUGGUUGUUAUUUGAAGAUUUUCAUAUUCU